rnacentral:rRNA from 1 species
AACGAACGCUGGCGGCAUGCCUAACACAUGCAAGUCGAACGAGACCUUCGGGUCUAGUGGCGCACGGGUGCGUAACGCGUGGGAAUCUGCCCUUGGGUCCGGAAUAACUCAGAGAAAUUUGAGCUAAUACCGGAUGAUGACGUAAGUCCAAAGAUUUAUCGCCCAGGGAUGAGCCCGCGUAGGAUUAGCUAGUUGGUGAGGUAAAGGCUCACCAAGGCGACGAUCCUUAGCGGUCUGAGAGGAUGAUCAGCCACACUGGGACUGAGACACGGCCAGACUCCUACGGGAGGCAGCAGUGGGGAAUAUUGGACAAUGGGCGAAAGCCUGAUCCAGCAAUGCCGCGUGAGUGAUGGAGGCCUUAGGGUUGUAAAGCUCUUUUACCCGGGAUGAUAAUGACAGUACCGGGAGAAUAAGCCCCGGCUAACUCCGUGCCAGCAG